rnacentral:rRNA from 1 species
GAUCCUGGCUCAGGAUGAACGCUAGCUACAGGCUUAACACAUGCAAGUCGAGGGGCAUCAGUUUGGUUUGCUUGCAAACCAAAGCUGGCGACCGGCGCACGGGUGAGUAACACGUAUCCAACCUGCCUCAUACUCGGGGAUAGCCUUUCGAAAGAAAGAUUAAUAUCCGAUAGCAUAUAUUUCCCGCAUGGGUUUUAUAUUAAAGAAAUUCGGUAUGAGAUGGGGAUGCGUUCCAUUAGGUUUGUUU